rnacentral:rRNA from 1 species
GUCUAUGGCCAUGCCACCCUGAACGUGCCCAAUCUCGUCUGAUCUCGGAAGCUAAGCAGGGUCGGGCCUGGUUAGUACUUGGAUGGGAGACCACCUAGGAAGACCAAAUGCUGUAGGCG